ACGUAGGGUGCGAGCGUUAAUCGGAAUUACUGGGCGUAAAGCGAGCGCAGGCGGUUUAGUAAGACUAGAGUGAAAUCCCCGGGCUCAACCUCGGAACUGCGCUUGAGACUGCUAAGCUAGAGUACGGCAGAGGGGAGUGGAAUUCCAGGUGUAGCGGUGAAAUGCGUAGAGAUGUGGAGGAACACCGAUGGCGAAAGCAGCCCCCUGGGCCGAUACUGACGCUCAUGCGCGAAAGCAUGGGGAGCAAACAG
rnacentral:rRNA from 1 species